GUUGAAAUACCGGUUCCCGUUCAAUUCACCGAGGUUAAGCAAUGCUGAACUUGGUCAGUACCUAGAUGGGUGACGGUCUGAAAAUACCAGGUGCUGUAA